rnacentral:rRNA from 1 species
GAGUUUGAUCCUGGCUCAGAUUGAACGCUGGCGGCAUGCCUUACACAUGCAAGUCGAACGGCAGCACGGGAGCUUGCUCCUGGUGGCGAGUGGCGAACGGGUGAGUAAUGCAUCGGAACGUAUCCUGGAGUGGGGGAUAACGUAGCGAAAGUUACGCUAAUACCGCAUAUUCUGUGAGCAGGAAAGCGGGGGACCUUCGGGCCUCGCGCUCUUGGAGCGGCCGAUGUCGGAUUAGCUAGUUGGUGAGGUAAAGGCUCACCAAGGCGACGAUCCGUAGCAGGUCUGAGAGGAUGAUCUGCCACACUGGAACUGAGACACGGUCCAGACUCCUACGGAGGCAGCAGUGGGAAUUUGGACAAUGGGGCAACCCUGAUCCAGCCAUGCCGCGUGAGUGAAGAAGGCCUGG